GGGCCCAAUUUAAAAUCGUAUCACGUUAUAAUUUUUUCCGAGACUGAUACAUACGAAUUGCAAAAUCCAAACAACCUCUGAGACAGUGGUGAACUGAAUCCAACUUGGAAUUUUAUCACUCAGAGAAACAAUGUAAUAAGCUGAAAAGAGAAUCAAAUAAGAACAAUGUCUACUACCAUGGGUAGCAAGUGAAAAGGGAGAAGAAAACUGGCAAAUUCACCCGGCAACAAACAAGCAUAUUAUUUCAUGGAUCUAUG
rnacentral:lncRNA from 1 species